UACGUAGGGUGCAAGCGUUGUCCGGAAUUAUUGGGCGUAAAGAGCUCGUAGGCGGUUUGUCGGGUCUGCUGUGAAAACUCGGGGCUUAACCCCGGGCCUGCAGUGGGUACGGGCAGACUAGAGUGCGGUAGGGGAGACUGGAAUUCCUGGUGUAGCGGUGAAAUGCGCAGAUAUCAGGAGGAACACCGGUGGCUAAGGCGGGUCUCUGGGCCGUAACUGACGCUGAGGAGCGAAAGCGUGGGGAGCGAACAGG
rnacentral:rRNA from 1 species